rnacentral:rRNA from 1 species
UACGGGGGGGGGCAAGCGUUGUUCGGAAUUACUGGGCGUAAAGGGCUCGUAGGCGGCCAACUAAGUCAGACGUGAAAUCCCUCGGCUUAACCGGGGAACUGCGUCUGAUACUGGAUGGCUUGAGGUUGGGAGAGGGAUGCGGAAUUCCAGGUGUAGCGGUGAAAUGCGUAGAUAUCUGGAGGAACACCGGUGGCGAAGGCGGCAUCCUGGACCAAUUCUGACGCUGAGGAGCGAAAGCCAGGGGAGCAAAACGGGG